rnacentral:misc_RNA from 1 species
GAAAUGCGAGAAGUAAUGUGAAUUGCAGAAUUAAGUGAAUCAUCGAAUCUUUGAAUGCACCUUGCACUCCUUGGUAUUCCUUGGAGCAUGCCUGUUUGAGUAUCAUGAAAUCUUCAAAGUAAAUCUUUUGUUAACUCAAUUGGUUUCUACUUUGGUAUUGGAGGUCUUUGCAGCUUCACACCUGCUCCUCUUUGUUCAUUAGCUGGAUCUCAGUGUUAUGCUUGGUUCCACUCGGCGUGAUAAGUUAUCUAUCGCUGAGGACACUGUAAAAGGUGGCCAAGGUAAAUGCAGAUGAACCGCUUCUAAUAGUCCAUUGACUUGGACAAUACUUUUAUGAUCUGAUCUCAAAUCAGGUAGGACUACCCGCUUAACUUAAGC